rnacentral:rRNA from 1 species
CCUGUACUCGGUGUUACUGCGAAGGGGGGACGGAGAAGGCUAUGUUGGCCGGGCGACGGUUGUCCCGGUUUAAGCAUGUAGGCGGAUGUUCCAGGUAAAUCCGGAACGUUACUAACGCUGAGGUGUGAUGACGAGGCACUACGGUGCUGAAGUGACAAAUGCCCUGCUUCCAGGAAAAGCCUCUAAGCAUCAGGUAACAUCAAAUCGUACCCCAAACCGACAC